UUUGGUCACACAAAAAAGUUUAAGUGCAAACAGUAAAACCUAUAUACUAAGAGAAGAUAGGUAGCUGUUAAUGACAAAACAAUUACUGAUAUUUAGAAUAAAAUAAUGAUGCAGGCGGAAACUAUGAUGUACACAAAGGGAUCAAAGGCUGCUCGAAAGUUGAAGCAUAGAAAAACAAAGUGUUACUCAGAAGAAUAGGAAAAAUAAGGUUUCCUACUUGGUUGAGCAAAAUACAAAGCUUUGUGUUUCAAAGUGAAGUGGGAAAUACUAUACUAGUAUGUCAUAUAUAUUCACAUUAAGUACUAGAACACUUUGCUAUUAUAUAAGAUAGCUUAUGAAUAAAAUAUAAAGUGUUUACAGAGAAUUUAUUUUUUCCAUACUUUUUGCUCUCUAGUUGUCAAAGACAGUUAUU